rnacentral:rRNA from 1 species
AGAACGAACGCUGGCGGCAGGCUUAACACAUGCAAGUCGAGCGCCCCGCAAGGGGAGCGGCAGACGGGUGAGUAACGCGUGGGAACAUACCCUCCGGUUCGGAAUAGCUCAGGGAAACUUGGAUUAAUACCGGAUACGGCCUAGCGGCGAAAGAUUCAUCGCCGGAGGAUUGGCCCGCGUCUGAUUAGCUAGUUGGUGGGGUAAUGGCCCACCAAGACGACGAUCAGUAGCUGGUCUGAGAGGAUGAUCAGCCACAUUGGGACUGAGACACGGCCCAAACUCCUACGGGAGGCAGCAGUGGGGAAUAUGGACAAUGGGCGCAAGCCUGAUCCAGCCAUGCCGCGUGAGUGAUGACGGCCUUAGGGUUGUAAAGCUCUUUCGCUAGGGACGAUAAUGACGGUACCUAGACAAGAAGCCCCGGCUAACUUCGUGCCAGCAGCCGC